GAUGAACGCUGGCGGCGUGCCUAAUACAUGCAAGUCGAGCGAACAGACGAGGAGCUUGUUCCUCUGACGUUAGCGGCGGACGGGCGAGUAACACGUGGAUAACCUACCUAUAAGACUGGGAUAACUUCGGGAAACCGGAGCUAAUACCAGAUAACAUGUUGAACCGCAUGGUUCAACAGUGAAAGACGGUCUUGCUGUUACUUAUAGAUGGAUCCGCGUCGCAUUAGCUAGGUGGUAAGGUAACGGCUUACCAAGGCAACGAUGCGUAGCCGACCUGAGAGGGUGGUCAGCCACACUGGGACUGAGGCACGGGCCAAAAUCCUAAGGGAAGCAACAGUAGGGAAUCUUCCGCAAUGGGCGGAAGCCUGACGGAGCAACGCCGCGUGAGUGAAGAAAGUCUUCGGAUCGUAAAACUCUGUUAUUAGGGAAGAACAAAUGUGUAAGUAACUAUGCACGUCUUGACGGUACCUAAUCAGAAAGCCACGGCUAACUACGUG
rnacentral:rRNA from 1 species